UUGGAAAUAGAAAGGUAAAUUAGCCUUUUGAGGUGUGCAUUCUCCUAAUUUUCUGGAAAGGUUGACAUAUUUAGUAAUAUCUUUGAUUUCAUGCAUAAUUCAUUUUGACUUUACAAGAGAAGAUGAGCAUUUUAAAUAAAAUUUGCAAAGACAGAAUGACCAGGAAGACAUUUCUUCCUCUGUACUGAGGUAUCAAGUUCAACAUGCUGAUGGCUUAAACAAAAGCAGUAAAAUCAUUGUCAGAUUGAAAAAACCAACAUUUCAUUGAACAACGUUUAUAUAAUGUACCCAGAUUAAAUAGUAUUUUAGUGAGUUCAAGAGGCACACAUAAUAGCAAUGUUAUUACAGGAAUCUGGUAGUAGAUCCAAAAGCUUAGGAAUGUAAUAACAAAAGCAGGAGUAUGUUAUUGUUUCUUAUUCAACUGUCUGUAGGAGGGGGGUUGAGGGGGUGGUGAUGUUUGUAUUGUUAAAAGGGGUCGUCAACAAGCUCAUAAAAAGCAGAUCAAGGAAAAGCCUGGCACUGAUUCUUCUGAGGACCACCAUAAACCAAGACUGGAGGUAGGAGACAAAAUGACUUCUUAGGCAGGGAUGGGCAAUGAUGAAAGCCAAACUCAGGUCAGAGAUGAGGUUUAUAGCUCAAGUCUUUCCUAAGACAGCUAGAAGACUACCAAGCCAAUAGUUUUUAGAGAAUACAUAUCCCAGACUGAAAUGAUCUAAGUGCUACUUGGUAGAAGUAUUCUGACACAUAGCUUUGUCUGCAUCAAAAUGUUUUGAAUCUAUACAGGAUGAGGCUUAAAAACAAGCAGAAAGGUGGGGGGCAGGAGGGAAAAAACUGAGAGAAAAUGAGGGAAGAGGGAUGCUAUUCAAAAAAUAAUACUCAUUACACUUGACUUAUGUAACUGUAACCCCUUGUUCAUCAUCUUUACAAUUAAAAAAAGAACCAAGCAGAAUUCAAAGGAGAUUAGCAUAACAUUAGCAUUUCUGUGCAAGUCUUAGUUUAAAAAGAAUGUACUAUGCUGGGUGGUGGCCCAUGCCUGUAAUCAGCAGUCAACCAGACAGAGGCAGGAGAAUACUGAGUUCCAGGCCAGGAGUCUAUCCUGUAAAUUGAGAUUAUCUAAAAAAAACAAGAAACAAAAAGUGCUUGCCUACCAAGUUUCUGGCCGAUGGUGCACUCUUCUGCACAAGUAAUUUUUGCCUUGCUGAGACACACUAGCAAA